GAUGAAGAACGUAGCGAAAUGCGAUAAGUAGUGUGAAUUGCAGAAUUCAGUGAAUCAUCGAAUCUUUGAACGCACAUUGCGCCCUUUGGUAUUCCUUAGGGCAUGCCUGUUCGAGCGUCAUUUAAACCUUCAAGCUAAGCUUGGUGUUGGGUGACUGUCCGCUUCACGGCGGACUCGCCUCAAAAUUAUUGGCGGCCGGUACAUUGGCUUCGAGCGCAGCAGAAACGCGAACUCGGGCCCGUCGUAUUGGCUCCCAGAAGCUAUCUUCAAAAUUUUGACCUCGGAUCAGGUAGGGAUACCCGCUGAACUUAAGCAUAUCAAUAAGCGGAGGA
rnacentral:misc_RNA from 1 species